rnacentral:rRNA from 1 species
CAGGAUGAACGCUGGCGGCGUGCUUAACACAUGCAAGUCGAACGGAGUUUUAACGGAAGUUUCGGAUGGAAGUUAGGAACUAGUGGCGGACGGGUGAGUAACGCGUGGGUAACCUGCCUCAUACAGGGGGAUAACAGUUAGAAAUGACUGCUAAGACCGCAUAAUAUAGCGAAACCGCAUGAUUUUGCUAUCAAAUAUUUAUAGGUAUGGAGAUGGGCCCGCGUCUGAUUAGCUAGUUGGUGGGUAAAGCCUACCAAGGCGACGAUCAGUAGCCGGCUUCGAGAGAGUGACCGGCCACAUUGGGACUGAGACACGGCCCAAACUCCUACGGGAGGCAGCAGUGGGGAAUAUUGGACAAUGGGGGAAACCCUGAUCCAGCGAACCGCCGCGUGAGUGAAGAAGUAUUUCGGUAUGUAAAGCUCUAUCAGCAGGGAAGAUAAUGACAGUACCUGACUAAGAAGCCCCGGCUAACUACGUGCCAGCAGCGGC